rnacentral:piRNA from 1 species
UCAAGAUCAUCUGCCCAGGUGUGCC